CCACCGGUGGCAACCCGGGGAAGACCUAUGGCGAACGGGUGCGUAACACGUGAGCAACCUGCCCCGAAGACUGGGAUAACAGCGGGAAACCGCUGCUAAUACCGGAUGUCCCCAUCUGUCCGCAUGGACGGGUGAGGAAAUGGAUUCCGCUUCGGGAGGGGCUCGCGGCCUAUCAGCUUGUUGGCGGGGUAACGGCCCACCAAGGCGACGACGGGUAGCUGGUCUGAGAGGACGAUCAGCCACACUGGGACUGAGACACGGCCCAGACUCCUACGGGAGGCAGCAGUAGGGAAUCUUGCGCAAUGGGCGAAAGCCUGACGCAGCAACGCCGCGUGGGGGAUGAAGGCCUUCGGGUUGUAAACUCCUUUCAGUGGGAACGAAACUGACGGUACCCACAGAAGAAGCCCCGGCCAACUACGUG
rnacentral:rRNA from 1 species